AUUGAACGCUGGCGGCAGGCCUAACACAUGCAAGUCGAACGGUAACAGGAAGCAGCUUGCUGCUUCGCUGACGAGUGGCGGACGGGUGAGUAAUGUCUGGGAAGCUGCCUGAUGGAGGGGGAUAACUACCGGAAACGGUAGCUAAUACCGCAUAAUGUCGCAAGACCAAAGAGGGGGACCUUCGGGCCUCUUGCCAUCGGAUGUGCCCAGAUGGGAUUAGCUUGUUGGUGGGGUAACGGCUCACCAAGGCGACGAUCCCUAGCUGGUCUGAGAGGAUGACCAGCCACACUGGGACUGAGACACGGUCCAGACUCCUACGGGAGGCAGCAGUGGGGAAUAUUGCACAAUGGGCGCAAGCCUGAUGCAGCCAUGCCGCGUGUAUGAAGAAGGCCUUCGGGUUGUAAAGUACUUUCAGCGGGGAGGAAGGGAGUAAAGUUAAUACCUUUGCUCAUUGACGUUACCCGCAGAAGAAGCACCGGCUAACUCCGUG
rnacentral:rRNA from 1 species